AGUCCCUGUGAUUGUGUGAAGAUGUCUAAAGUCCAAAUGCUAAAUGCGUUGGUGAAGCAGCGACUAACCGCGGCUGUUGAAGAGAUAUUGGGCUGUUUGAGAGAACGAUAGCCGAGUACGAGGAGAACUGUGUCGGUCGAAAGAGAGAAACGAGCGACAACGGAACCUUCUAGACGCUGAUGUCCAGCAGCUGUCGGUGAGUAAAGAACAGGUUCCCCCUGAGCAGUGGGAGUGGAGCCCCAGUCUGGACCAGCAGCACCCAGAGCCCCCACACAUUAAAGAGGAGCAGCAGGAGCUCUGGGUCAGCCAGGAGAGAGAGCAGCUUCAAGGGCUGGAGGAGGCUGAUAGCACCAAGUUCCCAUUCCCUGUGAAGAGUGAAGAUGAUGAAGAGAAACCUCAGCCCUCAGAGCUUCAUCAAAGACAAACUGAACAGAUGGAAGGAGAAGCUGAUGGAGAGGACUGUGGAGGACUAGAACCAGCCAAGAACUCAGAUCCAGAUAUAGAUUUACAUAUAAAUUCUGAAGACCAGACUGGAGACUCUUCUGAACCUGAGAUUGAUGACAGUUAUGAGUGGAAGAAUACCAGAGAAGCUCAGUCAGGUUUAAACUCUUUGGAAAAGAAUGGUGUUCAUGUCUGUCAUUCGAGUUGCAGUAGGCCUGCUUGUCAGAAACCAUUUAUCUGCUCUGAGUGUGGCAGAAGAUUUGGCUGCAAGUCACAUCUGAAGGGCCACAUGAUUAUCCACACAGGACAGAAACCUUUCAGCUGCUCAGUUUGUAAAAAAUCUUUUGCACGGAAUGAUUAUUUGCAGUUACACAUGAGAACCCACACAGGAGAGAGACCUUUCAGCUGUGCAUUUUGUAUUAAAUCUUUUGCACGGAAUGAUUAUUUGCAGUUACACAUGAGAAUCCACACAGGAGAGAAAAGAUUCAGCUGCAGUGUUUGUGACCAGAGAUUCACUUGGCUUCAUCAGUUCAGAAACCAUCAGCGUGUGUGUUGUCAGCCCUCACAGCUUCAUCAAAGACAAACUGAACAGAUGGAAACCGAAGCUGAUGGAGAGGACUGUGGAGGACCAGAACCAGCCAGGAAAUCAGAUCCACAUAGACGUCCAGAACCAAAAACUGAGGACCAGACUGGAGACUUUUCUUAACCUGAGACUAAUAGACAGUAAUGAUUAGGAGACCACCUCAGCCAGGUUUAAACACUCAACAUAAUAAUGAAAUCCUAGUGCCAGACACUUAUUAUUG